GAUCCAGCCAUGCCGCGUGUAUGAAGAAGGCCUUAGGGUUGUAAAGUACUUUUGUUAGGGAAGAAAAGCUAGUUUUUAAUAAAAAUUAGUGAUGACGGUACCUAAAGAAUAAGCACCGGCUAACUACGUGCCAGCAGCCGCGGUAAUACGUAGGGUGCAAGCGUUAAUCGGAAUUAUUGGGCGUAAAGCGAGUGCAGACGGUUACUUAAGCCAGAUGUGAAAUCCCCAAGCUUAACUUGGGACGUGCAUUUGGAACUGGGUGACUAGAGUGUGUCAGAGGGAGGUAGAAUUCCACAUGUAGCGGUGGAAUGCGUAGAGAUGUGGAGGAAUACCGAUGGCGAAGGCAGCCUCCUGGGAUAACACUGACGUUGAGGCUCGAAAGCGUGGGGAGCAAACAGGAUUAGAUACCCUGGUAGUCCACGCCUAAACGAUGACAAUUAGCUGUUGGGCUUUGAAAGGCUUAGUAGCGAAGUAA
rnacentral:rRNA from 1 species